CCUACGGGGGGCAGCAGUGAGGAAUAUUGGUCAAUGGUCGGGAGACUGAACCAGCCAAGCCGCGUGAGGGAUGAAGGUACAGAGUAUCGUAAACCUCUUUUGUCAGGGAACAAAGGCGGGGACGUGUCCCCGGAUGAGUGUACCUGAAGAAAAAGCAUCGGCUAACUCCGUGCCAGCAGCCGCGGUAAUACGGGGGAUGCGAGCGUUAUCCGGAUUUAUUGGGUUUUAAGGGUGCGCAGGCGGUCUGUUAAGUCAGCGGUAAAAGCCCGGGGCUCAACCCCGGCCCGCCGUUGAAACUGGCAGUCUCGAGUUGGAGAGAAGUAUGCGGAAUGCGCGGUGUAGCGGUGAAAUGCAUAGAUAUCGCGCAGAACUCCGAUUGCGAAGGCAGCAUGCCGGCUCCACACUGACGCUGAGGCACGAAAGCGUGGGUAUCGAACAGGAUUAGAUACCCCAGUAGUC
rnacentral:rRNA from 1 species